UGGGGAAUAUUGGGCAAUGGAGGCAACUCUGACCCAGCAACGCCGCGUGAAUGAUGAAGGUCUUCGGAUUGUAAAGUUCUGUGAUGGGAGACGAAGAAAGUGACGGUAUCCCAAUAGCAAGCCUCGGCUAACUACGUGCCAGCAGCCGCGGUAAUACGUAGGAGGCAAGCGUUAUCCGGAAUGACUGGGCGUAAAGGGUGCGUAGGUGGCUUGGCAAGUUGGUAGCGUAAUUCCGAGGCUCAACCUCGGCGCUACUACCAAAACUGUCGGGCUCGAGUGCAGGAGGGGUAAGUGGAAUUCCUAGUGUAGCGGUGGAAUGCGUAGAUAUUAGGAGGAACAUCGGUGGCGAAGGCGACUUACUGGACUGUAACUGACACUGAGGCACGAAAGCGUGGGGAGCAAACAGG
rnacentral:rRNA from 1 species